AUUGAACGCUGGCGGCAGGCCUAACACAUGCAAGUCGAGCGGAUGAGUGGAGCUUGCUCCAUGAUUCAGCGGCGGACGGGUGAGUAAUGCCUAGGAAUCUGCCCUGGUAGUGGGGGACAACGUUUCGAAAGGAACGCUAAUACCGCAUACGUCCUACGGGAGAAAGCAGGGGACCUUGGGCCUUGCGCUAUCAGAUGAGCCUAGGUCGGAUUAGCUAGUAGGUGAGGUAAUGGCUCACCUAGGCGACGAUCCGUAACUGGUCUGA
rnacentral:rRNA from 1 species